GAGCAGAGGGUGCAAACGUUGUUCGGAAUUACUGGGCGUAAAGCGCGUGUAGGCGGCUAUGCAAGUCGGAUGUGAAAGCCCUCGGCUCAACCGGGGAAGUGCACCCGAAACUGCAAAGCUAGGAGUCUCGGAGAGGAUCGUGGAAUUCUCGGUGUAGAGGUGAAAUUCGCAGAUAUCGGGAGGAACACCGGUGGCGAAGGCGGUUCUCUGGGCCUUACCUGGACGCUGAGGAGCGAAAGCGUGGGGAGCGAACAGG
rnacentral:rRNA from 1 species